CCUACGGGAGGCAGCAGUAGGGAAUAUUGCUCAAUGGGCGAAACCCUGAAGCAGCAACGCCGCGUGGAGGAUGAAGGUUUUAGGAUUGUAAACCCCUUUUGUUAGAGAAGAUUAUGACGGUAUCUAACGAAUAAGCACCGGCUAACUCCGUGCCAGCAGCCGCGGUAAUAAGGAGGGUGCAAGCGUUACUCGGAAUCACUGGGCGUAAAGGGUGCGUAGGCGGGGUAAUAAGUCAGAUGUGAAAUGCUGUAGCUUAACCAAAGAACUGCAUUUGAUACUGUUACUCUGGAGUGUAGGAGAGGUAGGUGGAAUUCUUGGUGUAGGGGUAAAAUGCGUAGAGAUCAAGAGGAAUACUCAUUGCGAAGGCGACCUGCUGGAACAUUACUGACGCUGAUGCACGAAAGCGUGGGGAGCAAACAGGAUUAGAUACCCGAGUAGUC
rnacentral:rRNA from 1 species